rnacentral:rRNA from 1 species
GUGGGGAAUAUUGCACAAUGGGCGGAAGCCUGAUGCAGCGACGCCGCGUGGGGGAUGACGGUCUUCGGAUUGUAAACCCCUUUCAGUAGGGACGAAGCGCAAGUGACGGUACCUGCAGAAGAAGCACCGGCCAACUACGUGCCAGCAGCCGCGGUAAUACGUAGGGUGCGAGCGUUGUCCGGAAUUACUGGGCGUAAAGAGCUCGUAGGCGGUUUGUCGCGUCGUCUGUGAAAUCCUCCAGCUUAACUGGGGGCGUGCAGGCGAUACGGGCAGACUUGAGUACUACAGGGGAGACUGGAAUUCCUGGUGUAGCGGUGAAAUGCGCAGAUAUCAGGAGGAACACCGGUGGCGAAGGCGGGUCUCUGGGUAGUAACUGACGCUGAGGAGCGAAAGCAUGGGUAGCGAACAGG